GAUGAAGAACGUAGCGAAAUGCGAUAAGUAAUGUGAAUUGCAGAAUUCAGUGAAUCAUCGAAUCUUUGAACGCACAUUGCGCCCGCCAGUAUUCUGGCGGGCAUGCCUGUUGGAGCGUCAUUACAACCCUCAGGCCCCCGGGCCUGGCGUUGGGGAUCGGCGGAGCCCCCCGUGGGCACACGCCGUCCCCCAAAUACAGUGGCGGUCCCGCCGCAGCUUCCAUCGCGUAGUAGCUAACACCUCGCGACUGGAGAGCGGCGCGGCCACGCCGUAAAACACCCAACUCUUCUGAAGUUGACCUCGAAUCAGGUAGGAAUACCCGCUGAACUUAAGCAUAUCAAUAAGCGGAGGA
rnacentral:misc_RNA from 1 species